UUUCUGUUCCUUAGAGUGUUUGUAUUAACUUUAACAGAGGCGUCGAUUUUAUUUUUUAGAAAAAUGUGAUCACUGUGAUGAUUAUCUUGUAAAACCCUCGUGUGGGCAUGUAUCGUCUCAUAAAAGACCUUAUCGAAACAAUGUGUAAUGGUUUGACCUUACGAAUCGAACGGGAAUAAAUAAAAAUAUAUAUUUACAAAAGCUUAACGACUCGUGUUUCAAGUUUGUUGUUUGACCUUACGAAUCGAACAGGAAUAAAUAAAAAUAUAUAUUUACAAAAGCUUAA